AAUAACUGUGGACGGUCACAUUGGUCAGUCGUGUUUUCUAAUGUAUUUGAUCGAUGUUUUGAUUGGUCAAUCUAGUGUUCAGUCAUUCUAAAAUAAUGUAGUCAAAGAUACCGGAAGAGCAGGCUGCCGGAUCGCUAUAGGGAUGACGUCACCAUUUCAUUGAUACUGUUAUCAGCAAUAAUGACUACCUCGACUCCAAUUGAGCUUUAUAAGGAGUUUUUUUAUUUUAUUUUUUUUAUUUCAGCAAUGAAGCAGUGAGGAGGCGGCAGCAAGGGUUUCGAAGGAUAAACGAAUAAAAGUGUUCUCUUCCACCCAGACCUGGAUGGAAAAGAUCAAGCUAUUUUUUUAUUCCCCACGAUAUUCACAUUGUUAUGGCUUCUGGAAGCUGGAGAGGAUACCCAUUUUUGAAUGCUACAAACCUGUACUAAAUCUGUGAACCACAGGAGGCCGUGAGGCAAAGCUACGCAACCUACCGACGCAAGCUUCCUCUCUCCUUUGGUCUCCCGGACGAAGACACGCCCGGACCCCCAAAACCAUCCAACCCACCACCCCCAUCCCCCCCGCCACACCCCUAGCGCCGGAGAAGAGGGGUGGGCAUAUGAUGGUGGAGGGGGGGGGGGGUGGGGGGUGAGGCGGGAGGGAAAAAAGUGUGGCUGGGAUGAAAAGAGAUGACAUGAGCAGCUGUCUUCUAGAAGGCGUGAUCACACAGGCAGAUGAGGGUGUCCGCGUGUGGCAGACUUCCUCCCGGCGUACCGGAUCAAAAACGCGUAAAAGUGGAUCACUUACACGCCGCUCUCCAUUACGAAACAGCACGGGCGCCGUUAAUGAGAGACAAGGUAAAAGGACUGUUUCCGGGGCUCUGUUACCAGACAGACAUGCGCAAAAAAAAUAAAAA